UACGUAGGGUGCAAGCGUUAAUCGGAAUUACUGGGCGUAAAGCGUGCGCAGGCGGUGAUGUAAGUCAGAUGUGAAAUCCCCGGGCUCAACCUGGGAACUGCAUUUGUGACUGCAUCGCUGGAGUGCGGCAGAGGGGGAUGGAAUUCCGCGUGUAGCAGUGAGAUGCGUAGAUAUGCGGAGGAACACCGAUGGCGAAGGCAAUCCCCUGGGCCUGCACUGACGCUCAUGCACGAAAGCGUGGGGAGCAAACAGG
rnacentral:rRNA from 1 species